rnacentral:lncRNA from 1 species
ACGAGCCAAACACGAGCGAGCUAGAAUGGGUUGAACACGAGCUAACUCAUUAAAAUAUCAAGCUGAAAAUCCAGCUCGUGUUCGACUUAUUUGUUAACAAGUCAAAAACGAGCUGGCUUGUGAAAGACAAGUUAGAUUGCCAGCUGGCUUGUGAAAAUUAGAAUCUUUAUCUAAUAAUUAAAAUUUAUAAAAUAUAUAUAGGUCAUUUUAUAGUUGGGUUGACCUAAAAUCCAAAUAAGAGAAAUUCAAUUUGUAUUCGGUUCGUUUAUUAAAGGAAUGACCAAUGUGGAGCUCAUUUCGAGCCGAGCAUUAUCUGGUUCGCGAACAACGAACUUGAUUGU